rnacentral:lncRNA from 1 species
ACCAUGUUGAAUGAUUUAACGGCUGAAAUCUUUCAGUUUUUACAACAAAAACUCACAAAGCUGUCUGCAGUGAGUCUGAUGUGAUCCAGGCGAGGUAUCCCCUCUCUCUCUCUUUCUCUCUCUUUCCUGGGAUGCCCUGCCUCUCUCUCUCUCUCUCUCUCUCUCUCUCUCUCUCUCUCUCUCUCUCUCUCUCUCUGUGUGUUUGUAGCCCUGCAGAACUCAGCAUAUCUAACAUUUCUCCUUCAAACUCCAACGAGCUCUGUUCUCAUCUGAAAGGAAGAGAGGACACUGCUGAAGUCGGAUCACCUGAGAUCACCUCCAGACCAGCAGCAGUCCAGGCCUGACAGGGCGCCCAGCCGGCCUCGCCGCAGCCCCUCCAGCAUGGAGCGCGUUCAGCACAUGACCAAGUCGGCCAUCCGCCGGGCGUCCCAGAUCGAGGUGACCCCACAGGCCAAGAGGAACCUGCAGGAGCUCUUCGUCAACUUCACGCUCAUCCUCAUCUGCCUGCUCCUCAUCUACAUCAUCGUGCUGCUGAGCAGCUGAGCGGCGGCGGCGGCGGCGGCGCUCGGGGAGUUUGGCGAGGCUGCGAGCGGACGAGGGUUUCGCUCCCGGCAGCCAUGUGACGAGAACAGCCAGACUCUCUUCACGGAUGGCCUCCGAGCCUCGCUUUCUCGAGGGAAUGAUCUGAAGUCAGUCAGCGGUACGCUCCAUGUUCAUCCAUGAUAAUCAUCCUGCACACAGCAUAGAAAUCCCUCCUGCAUCAGUCAGCGUACAGAACAAUCCAGGGUUGCUAAAAUGUAAUCAAGCUUACAGAUUCGAAAAAAAAAGUAGUCUCUGCAUCAUCAGCACCCUCUAGUGGAUAAAAUAAGCAACUGAUUAGUUCUUCAAAGCGUUAAAUUUCCAUGAGAAUGUCAUUGAUUUCCACUCUUAUUUCGAGGACUCACACAAUACUUGAUAUAACACUUACAGUAAGGAUUUUAAGCUUCUGAAUGUGUGGAAUUUGCUUCAUUUUGCAUGGUGUGAUCUGUCUCUGCUCCGCUGCAACAGGAUCGCUGCACAUGUACCUCGAUUUUUAGUCCACAUGAGGCACAUACGUCGUUAUAAACCUCACAUUUUUUUGGUCUUGAGAGGAAUCUGUGAUCCGGAAUCUGUCCUGUGCUGCACUUUCAAUGCAUUGGCCUGUAUUUCAAAUGACUGCAAUGUGAAAACUGAAAGAACGGAUGAUUUGAUUGUGUUUUGGUGAUGUUUGUGGAAAAACUGUUACACCUGAUUUUUUUUUUUUUAAAUUGAGGAACACCAAAUAAACUGCAUGUCAAUACGUGUCAAUAUA